rnacentral:rRNA from 1 species
UACGGAGGGUGCAAGCGGUGUUCGGAAUCAUUGGGCGUAAAGCGCGUGUAGGCGGCUUGGCAAGUCGGUUGUGAAAUCCCGGGGCCCAACCCCGGAACUGCAUUCGAAACUGCCUCGCUAGAGUCCCGGAGAGGAAGGCGGAAUUCCCGGUGUAGAGGUGAAAUUCGUAGAUAUCGGGAGGAACACCAGCGGCGAAGGCGGCCGUCUGGACGGUGACUGACGCUGAGACGCGAAAGCGUGGGGAGCAAACAGG